UAGUGUUACAGCUCUUUUAGAAUUUGUCUAGCAGGUUUUCUGUUUUUCGUUUUUUUCGCCCCCCCGGAAAACCCAU
rnacentral:snRNA from 1 species